UACGUAGGUGGCAAGCGUUGUCCGGAAUUACUGGGCGUAAAGCGUGCGUAGACGGUUGCGUAAGUCAGAUGUGAAAGCCCCGGGCUCAACCUGGGAAUUGCAUUUGAGACUGCGUAGCUAGGGUGCGGAAGAGGGAAGCGGAAUUUCCGGUGUAGCGGUGAAAUGCGUAGAUAUUCGCAAGAACACCAGUGGCGAAGGCGGCUAACUGGUCCGGUUCUGACGCUGAGGCGCGAAAGCGUGGGGAGCAAACAGG
rnacentral:rRNA from 1 species